GGGUGGUUAGCUCAGCUGGCAGAGCAUCACAGUGACAUUGUGAGGGUCGCAGGUUCGAGUCCUGCACCACCCA
rnacentral:tRNA from 1 species